rnacentral:rRNA from 1 species
UACAGAGGGUGCGAGCGUUAAUCGGAUUUACUGGGCGUAAAGGGUGCGUAGGUGGUAAAGCAAGUAAGAUGUGAAAGCCCUGGGCUUAACCUAGGAAGUGCAUCUUAAACUGCUUAACUAGAGUAUGGUAGAGGGUAGUGGAAUUUCCGGUGUAGCGGUGAAAUGCGUAGAUAUCGGAAGGAACGCCAGUGGUGAAGACGACUACCUGGACCAAUACUGACACUGAGGCACGAAAGCGUGGGGAUCAAACAGG